UUUGAAAUAAAAUAUAUAUUUUAAAAAUAAUAAAUAUUUUUAAAAAUUAUUUUCAAAAAUUAAAAAAAAAUGUUGAUUUUUAAAAAAAAACAGUUUUUAAAAAUUAUGCAUAGCCGAUUAUUUUUGAAAAUAUUAAAAAAAUUGAUUUUUUUUGAAAAUUUCAUAUUUCUGAAGAAAAAAACUCCAAAAAUAAAAAAAAAAACAAUUUUUUU
rnacentral:lncRNA from 1 species